rnacentral:rRNA from 1 species
AACAGCUCAAAUUUGAAAUCUGACCUUCGCGGUCCGAGUUGUAAUUUGCAGAGGAUGUCUCGGGGGCGGUGCCGGUCUAAGUUCCUUGGAACAGGACGUCGUAGAGGGUGAGAAUCCCGUAUGCGAUCGGCGGCCAACCCCAUGUGAGACCCCUUCGACGAGUCGAGUUGUUUGGGAAUGCAGCUCUAAAUGGGUGGUAAAUUUCAUCUAAAGCUAAAUACCGGCCAGAGACCGAUAGCGCACAAGUAGAGUGAUCGAAAGAUGAAAAGCACUUUGGAAAGAGAGUGAAAAAGUACGUGAAAUUGUUGAAAGGGAAGCGCUUGCAACCAGACUCGUCCGCGGGUGAUCAGCCGUCCCUCGGGGCGGUGCACUCGCCCGCGAUCGGGCCAGCAUCGGUUCUGGCGGCCGGAUAAAGGGCCCGGGAACGUAGCUCCUUUCGGGGAGCGUUACAGCCCGGGCUGCCAUGCGGCCUGCCGGGACCGAGGACCGCGCUUCGGCUAGGAUGCUGGCGUAAUGGUUGUCAGCGACCCGUCUUGAAACACGGACCAAGGAGUUGAACAAUUUUGCGAGUGUUUGGGUGUCAAACCCAUGCGCGCAAUGAAAGUGAACGGAGGUGAGAGCUCCUCCGGGGGCGCAUCAUCGACCGAUCCUGAAGUCUUCGGAUGGAUUUGAGUAUGAGCAAAACUGUUCUGACCCGAAAGAUGAUGAACUAUGCCUGAAUAGGGUGAAGCCAGAGGAAACUCUGGUGGAGGCUCGCAGCGGUUCUGACGUGCAAAUCGAUCGUCAAAUUUGGGCAUAGGGGCGAAAGACUAAUCGAAUCAUCUAGUAGCUGGU